GUCCACGCCGUAAACGGUGGGUACUAGGUGUGGGUUUCCUUCCACGGGAUCCGUGCCGUAGCUAACGCAUUAAGUACCCCGCCUGGGGAGUACGGCCGCAAGGCUAAAACUCAAAGGAAUUGACGGGGCCCGCACAAGCGGCGGAGCAUGUGGAUUAAUUCGAUGCAACGCGAAGAACCUUACCUGGGUUUGACAUACACCGGAAACCUGCAGAGAUGUAGGCCCCCCUUGUGGUCGGUGUACAGGUGGUGCAUGGUUGUCGU
rnacentral:rRNA from 1 species